AACCUGGUUGAUCCUGCCAGUAGUCAUAUGCUUGUCUCAAAGACUAAGCCAUGCAUGUCUAAGUAUAAGUUAUAUACAGCGAAACUGCGAAUGGCUCAUUAAAACAGUUAUAGUUUAUUUGACAAUCUAACUACAUGGAUACCCGUAGUAAUUCUAGAGCUAAUACAUGCUGUACACCGAACUUCUUGGGGAGGUGGUAUUUAUUAGAUAACAACCAAUAUUCCGAAGGUCUAUCGUGGUGAAUCAUAAUAACUGAUCGAAUCGCACAGCCCUUGGCUGCGAUAAGUCAUUCAAGUUUCUGCCCCAUCAGCUUUAGAUGGUAGUGUAUUGGACUACCAUGGCGUUCACGGGUAACGGAGGAUUAGGGUUCGAUUCCGGAGAGGGAGCCUGAGAAACGGCUACCACAUCUAAGGAAGGCAGCAGGCGCGUAAAUUACCCAAUCCUGACUCAGGGAGGUAGUGACAAGAAAUAGCAAGAAGUACUUUGUAUUUCAUUGAAAUGAGCCGAAUUUACACCACUUAGUGAGGAUCAAUUGGAGGGCAAGUCUGGUGCCAGCAGCCGCGGUAAUUCCAGCUCCAAUAGC
rnacentral:rRNA from 1 species